GUCUGUGCCCUGAGAGUAUCACCCACAUCUACACUCUACCCUUAAGAAGUCCUGACUGCACAGCCCCUCACCAUGGACUGGAGCUGGAAAGCCCUCUUCCUGGUGGCAGUGGCUACAGGUGUCCACUCCCAGGUGCAGCUGGUGCAGUCUGGGGCUGAGGUGAGGAAGUCUGGGGCCUCAGUGAAGGUCUCCUGCAAGGCUUCUGGAUACACCUUCACCAGCAACUAUAUGAGCUGGGUGUGGCAGGCCCCAGGUCAAGGCCUUGAGUGGAUGGGGAGAAUUUACCCUAACAGUGGUAGCACAAACUAUGCACAGAAGUUACAGGGCAGACUCACCAUAACUGCAGACAAGUCCACGAACACAGCCUUCAUGGAGCUGAGCAGCCUGACAGCUGAGGACACGGCCAUGUAUUACUGUGCGAGAGACACAGUGAGGGGAAGUCAGCGUGAGCCCAGACGCAAACCUCCUUAG